CUUCAACACCUACGAGCAGUGGUGACCAUGUGGCCAUGGUGCAGCCUCAGGGGAGGCUGUUCCAACCAGGCUGGGAAGGGCAGGCAGGUCAGGUGGCCACAGAGCCCUGACUCUGGUGCUCUGCUUCCUUUUUUGUACAGGUGUCACAGGAGAAGGCAGUGGAGCAAGAGGAGGAGCUGGAAUGUCAACCAGAGCACAAUGCUGUGUGCCCCAAACAGGGGACAAACCUCAACAAUUGUGUGGAGGAGAACACAAAACAGGAGGAGGAGGAACAACAAGUGAAGGAGGAGGAGCAGCAAAAGGAGGAGGAGCAGAAGGAAGAGAAGGAGGAGGACGUGGAAGGAGUGGAGGAGGAAGAAAAACAUGUGCAUGAGAAGGAAGAGGGAUCCUGCAGAGCAGAGCCCCACACACACCGAACAGCCUCCAGUUGAAGAGGCUGUGGUCAAGUGGCCCCCAGAACCCCAGCUGCAUGAGAAUGAGAAUCUGCACAGGGCCCUGGCUUGGGCCUUCAUCCCUGAGUACAGUGAUUUCUGCUUUGGAACAACGCUGAGGAGUAGGAAACCAUAGAACCCAAUGCUCUGUGCCCUCUUUUCCCCCAUUCAGUCCCUGCUUCCCUACCCGUCCUCUCCUGAUUCUUUUCCUGCCAUGUCUAGAGGAGCAAGAAAAACCCCACCAAUUUAUCUCUUCCUAGAGAUAUUUGAACUCCAACAGUUCUUUAAAAUAUCAAAAAAUGUGCAUUUAUUUGAAUAUAAAUGAAAAAAAUGAGAAAAAUAUUUCAAUAAAAAUUUUUAAUGUUUUAAAUUUUAAAAAAUCUUUUUUAUAGAGUAAAACAAGAUAAAUAAUGAAACAGUUUCAAAACAGGUUAGUAGGAGUGUGACAAUACUUGAAAUACUGCAUGCUGUUGUCUUUGUGGUAAUUAUUUGGAAUGCAGGAUGUAGGCAUGUUAUUGCAUCUAAACAAUAUUAGCACAAGACGUAGCCCCUUGACUUCUGGGAGAACAUGGCAGACAAAUAACAGCAGCCACAGAGGCUCUCUGAGAUUACCAGUUUAGAAUCCAGGAGCAGUGCCGUGUGAGGAGUCCUACGCGAGGGGAGAUGUACCCUGCUGACCCAGGAACGAACUAAGCUGAGAGAAACCAACUGGAAAUGCAAUCCUGAUGGUAUAACAGGAACAGAUAAAAUCUCAGUGCGGAAGCUGGAUCCCGCACCAUUGGAAGCCGCGAUUUGAAUUUCCUGCUGCCGAUACUGCAUCCCAAUCCAUAUGGCAGGGAGAGAGACGUGCAAAAGCUCUGGGAGCUGGAAUCGGCAAACCAAAUGGCAUUGAAAGCGGGACUGGCAGGGAGCCCUGCAUUGACCUGUGGUGAGUGAGAGAAAUGGGGACCCUUUCAUAGACUAGGAGGCUCCAAAAGAGGACAUUCUGGGAAUGAGCAGACUAGCCGGAACAGGGCCCUGUAGUGACUUUAGUCGCAUAUUCCCCUCUCAAGUGGGAGUGGUGGGGAGCACUUGGCCUGGUGACACCGCAGACUAAGAUCCAGUAGGUUAGCCCAAAUCAGGUCCCUGCACCUGGUGGUGCACCCUAGCAGUGAAGCAUUCAGUAGGUUGACCUGGAGGGGUGGGCCCAGAAGAGGCUGCCCAGGUCUGUGUAUCCCUAGUACACUGCAGUGGGAGGGAACACCUAGCCAGCAGAUUCAAACAAACUGUAACAGACAAAGAGAGAGAAAACAAAACAAAACAAAACUGGGCCUCCUACAGAUACUUGUAUGGAAAGAACAAAAAGUAUGGGAAAAGGGAGCAACAAGAAAGGGUCCUCAGUCCCCAAUCCUGAGAACACUGAUCCAGGAAAGGUAAAUGCAAAAGAGAAUGAAGAUAGCAAACAUGCAGUAUCAGAUAUGGCACCUAAAGACAUAAAGUGGUAUCUCCGGAGCCUCAUAGAUGAGUUCAAAUGAAGUAUUUAAUGAAAUAAAGCAAGAAAUAAGUAGAAUAGUUAGAGAAAUGCUAAGCACCGCCCAAGAAAACACAGAUGGUGGAAUGGAAGAACAGAAAAAAAGGGGAGAAUUGUUUGAUGGAGAAAAUAGAGAAAACAUAGAAUACGUGAAGCAGGUUCAAAGAGAUUACCAGGAAACUAAAAACUCUAUUGAAUGCUGGCAUAACAGCUUGAAAGAAACUAAGGAUAGAUUAUCAGAACUGGAGGACAGAUUUGUAAGGUGGGAGCAUGAAAUGAAAAACUUCUUCAAAAUAACAAGAAAACAAACAGCGAUAAUACAAAGACUAGAAGAUGAUAAGAGGAUCUAUAACUUAUGAAUUAAGAACAUAAAAGAAGAAGCAGGGACUCAAACAAAUGAACUACAAAAGCUAUUCACAGAAAUAAUCCAGGAGAAUAUCCCUAAUUUAGCAAAAGGUAAAGAUACUCAGAUGUAUGAGGCAUACAGGAUCCCAGCCACCUACAACCCAAACCGAGCUACACUCAGGCAUAUAAUAAUCAAAAUUCCAGAAAUCCAAUAUAAGAACAGAAUAUUAAAAGCCAUCAGAGACAAGAAACAGAUCACUUACAAGGGAACACCCAUCAGAAUUACAGCAGACUUCUUGGCACAAACCAUGAAAUCAUGAAGAGCGUGGGGGGAAAUAAUUCAAGCUUUGAAAGACAAUAACCUCCAGCCAAGAUUGAUAUAUCCUGCACGACUGUCCCUAGAAAUUGAUGGAAAAACAAGGUGCUUCCAGGAUAAAGAGGAACUAGGGGAAUUUGCAACCACCAAUUCAACUCUACAGAGAUUAUUGCAGGAUAUUCUAGAAAUGAAAAAUACCAAGAUUCCAGGAACAGUGACAGAGAGGCCACAAUGAAUGGAGCAGAAAGCAAAAUGAAGAGGACAAACUGACAACUAAUGACAGAAAAAGAGCUCAACAGAAAUGAGGCAGAGAAGGUUGGAUGGUAGGAACAGCCAUUUUGGAGAAAACAAGACAUCACAAUAGGUAGUGCUGAUUUAAUAUCCUCUUGUUUUGAAGUCUCAUCAAACUUUUGUUCUUCUGUCUCCAUCAGUUUUAACGUGUUGUAUCUUGUCGGAUUUUAUUAUAUGUGAUAAUAUAAACAACUUUUGUAGACAGGGAGAUUACACAGAAACCACUGUUUAGUUUCUGUUAGUUGAUUCUAAAUACCCUGUAAUACUGUCAUUCUCUUGAACGGUUUUACAUUGUCUUGAUAUGUUUGAUGCUACAGUAUACGAAGUUAUACCCAAAGAUUUUAAGGAAAGAGACACUAUGGCAACUACUAUUAUGUCGAGAUUAUCUUGUGGUGAAACACUAUUUUGCUUAAAUGGCUAUGUGCUGUUUUGUUGUUAUGCCCUCUUUUUUUUUUAUCUCAAUCUCCUUUUUAUUAUGUACUUUUUCAUUUUUAUCCUUUUAAUUAAGGGAAAAAUAAAUAAAAAAUAGCAGGAUAUAUUAUAGUAACCCACUUUGAUUUCCUAUUAACUUGAUUUGAAACUCUGUAUUGCUCUCACCAUCUUGUUUUGACUGAUAUGCCUCUAUUCUGUUAUGCUUGAUAGUACCAAGUUUGAAAGUCUAGGCAACAACUAUGAAGACAAUAAGAUUCAUUGUGAUGCCCAUUCUGGUUGACUAUUAUCUUCUUUUGAAGUCCUCUAAUGUCUCCAAUGUUUUGGUUUUAUUGGUCUUAUUCUUUACUGUUUUGUUCAAUUUUAUUAUAACUGAUGAUAUAGGCAAUUCUUUGUGAGAUAACAAGAGGCAUUAUGGUAACCAUUGUUGAUCACCUUGUAUUUUGUUUUUACAUUAUGUAUUAUGUCCAUCCUUUUGAUUUGACUGACUCUGUCCUGGUAUGUCACAUUUGGUUUUACUUUCUUCAAAAAAAAAAGUAAUAAGAACUGUGGGAGCAGUGAAACCCAAUAUGUGUAAUUGUCAUUGUACGGAAGAAGGGAGGGAAGAGUUCUCUGGGAGAUAUAACUGCAUGUAUGUUUGGGUGUGUAGGAUGGAUAACCAUAUUGCUGAGUUUUGUUGGAUCAUUGAACAAAACUGUUUGCAGUCUCACUGUUUGAAGGUCCCCUCUGUAUGCUUUAAUUUUGUAACUUCAACAACUAUUUCUAAGAUGACAAUAUGUAAUUAACUAGUGAUUUCCUGUUUAUUUUUUCUGAAAUUCUGUAUAACUUGUACCCUUUUU